UCUUCGGUAGUAUAGUGGUUAGUAUUCGCGCCUGUCAUGAGUUUGACUCUAGAUCGCGCGAGACCCGGGUUCAAUUCCCGGCCGGAGAG
rfam:Sphaerobolus stellatus SS14 unplaced genomic scaffold SPHSTscaffold_40, whole genome shotgun sequence.